AUUUCUGAUGCUGUCUGUGCUG
rnacentral:piRNA from 1 species